AGAACCUGCCGUAUACUGGGGGAGUAACACUUAGAAAUAGGUGCUAAUACCGCAUAAGCGCACAGCUUCGCAUGAAGCAGUGUGGAAAACAAAAAGCUAAAGCUUUUGGUGGUAUACGAUGGAUCCGCGUCUGAUUAGCUAGUUGGCGGGGUAAAGGCCCACCAAGGCGACGAUCAGUAGCCGGCCUGAGAGAGUGAACGGCCACAUUGGGACUGAGACACGGCCCAAACUCCUACGGAAGGCAGCAG
rnacentral:rRNA from 1 species